UUUUAAGGCCCUUUGUGUUUUGACCAAUUUUUAUUUUUCUAUUUGUUUUUUUUUUUAACAGGAUUAAAAGGAUUUUAUUUAAAUUCUGCAGAAACCAAGGCUGUUUCUUGUUGUUGUGCUUUUUUUUCAUGUUUUUGUCAUUUUUUCGUGGUUAAUUCAUUAUAAAAUUGACUCUGAACAUGAAUGAGGAUUUCGUUUAUACAAAAAUCCGAUCUCAGACACGGCCAGACUGUAACGUCAUAAUGAUCGGGUUCCUGCUUCACGGCUCUGUGGCUCGCCAUCCGCAGAUCUGCAUCUUGGGCCUGGCACAAGCUCAGAGACGUGUUCGGGGUUCGAGAUGAUGAUGAUGUUAAACUGUCAGUGGAGGAAAGUGAACCUGGAUGGAGCUCAGUGCGUCCGUUUUACACCAACUACGGUACCUUUGGCGUGUGAGGCACUAAUUAGAAGGCAGAAGAGUCAGCAGAAGUUUCCAAGUGUGGUUUCAAGUGUCAGGCAGAAAGAAGAAAGCAGCAUCUAACUGCUGAAGAAACAUCAGGGCUGAGAAAGCACACAACUAAAAACCCUUUGCUUUAGAGAUCACGGUCUUCACAGCUCUGGUGCAUUUUUCAGAAGAUAAAUAUUUGAGAUGGAGUGAAUGGAAUGACAUGAAGGCACAGAUGCAGCUGUCUAUUUAGGUAUUUGAACAAGGAUUUUGGUUUGUUUCUGUUUAGGAUAAAUGUUAAAAAGGCCCAUCUUAAAUGUUUAGCCAUGCCCAGCCAUUAACUGAUCAGUAGCAAUAUCAUAUACAUUGUAGUAAGUAGAGAAAUAAUAAACCGUCUCUCAUAUGGUUUUUAAAUGACUUUAAACAAUACUUCAUGCUACUUAAGAAACUGAAAUCAAGCAAAUCAGUAAGGAUCUGUGAUGACGUUUCUCAUUUUUUACUGUUUUGAUUCAUGCCUCCAGUGCCGUGCUCUCUCUGUUAUUGUGCACUUAAUUUUUAUUACUGUGAAUCCUUUUAGCCCCCUUUCGUUCCUUUCUUUAUUUUGUCAUGGUAUUCUCAGAAUUGAAUGUUGAUUUGUUUUAU